GACUGAUCAAGAUCAGGGGAAGUUAAUCCAGGAAGGUGCACAGGCAACACUGCUGGGAAAAAGGCUUUUCUAGCAUUGAGCAAUAGUUCUGUCCUCAGUCAGUCGCAAGCUGAAAAUGAGAGAAAGGAGUAAAUAGAUUUCAAAAUAUUUCGGUAACAAAUCCACCUGUGGAAAUUCCCCAGAUCACUUGGCUUCGCUCGUUUUCUUUUUGUGUUAGGGAGAUAAGAAUUUGUAUAAAUAUCAUCUCUUCUUGACUGCACAACAGAAGAAAAAGGUUGGACUUCUUGGUAACACUGCAGAGCUUGAGGUGGUCACAGUGAAGCUCUUCGUCUGCACCUCGUUCUGCUCUUUGGCCUUGGGAGCUCACCGCUAGAACUGGUUCCUGGAUGCUGGAAGGUUCAUAAAAGAAACUGGUCAAGUGACGGCCGGGAAUUCCUGCAAGAAACCUUCGGGAGGGGCAUGGAGGACUUGCUGGCCGACCAGGAGGCCAAUCGCCAUGGGAGAAGCGGCGGAGAUCCCAACCACUGCAGACCGGCUGGACUGGAUGAGAAAUAUUGAGCCACAAGCGUCCCCCAAAAUGAAAAGGCUUUGAAAAGUGGAAACAAAGCAUCCGACCACAUUGUUGGACUACUUUCAGUGCCGCGAUCGGGGGCUUCCAUCGCUCUACACGGAGAGACUAGGAACGUCACCUGAUACAGAUAGGCCGAUGGACAAUUUAUGGAGGACGUUUAUCGUUCCCUAUCUGCCAUCUUCCGUCACCCACACCGGUGGCUUUCAGAUCGCCCUUUUCACUGCCCUUUUCCUCGUCCGGAUGGAGUCCGACUCCUUCUCGCGACGCCUUCGCGGAUGGGAGCGACUGAGGCGGCCCGGCGUUCCUGCCCGAGGCGGCCCAUCGCCAUCGGCCACGCUGUGGAAACGACCCCGCCCAACCUCACCACAGCACACUCACACCCACCAGACAACACACACACACAGACACACAAUUCCACACACAAACACAGGUGUGCGGGCGCGUACACACACACACACACGCGCACACCCCCCCCCCCCCCCAAACACCCUCACUUCAGGCCCACCUUGGUUAACCAUCUUGUGAAAUGGUCCUGUCUCACUGUGUGCUCCCACUCUCUCAGACUCACAGAUUCGCACACGUGCGCACACACACACACACACACACAAUAAACACACUCAACCGAGGUACAAUGCUUUUGUUUUUGUUUUUUAUGGUACUCGUUAAGCACUUACUAUGUACUGAGCCCCCUUCUAAGUGCGGGGCUAGAUUCGAGGUAACGAGGUGGGACGCGGUCCCUAUCCCACAGAGGCCCACAGUCAAAUA